rnacentral:rRNA from 1 species
GAUGAACGCUAGCGGCAGGCCUAACACAUGCAAGUCGAGGGGUAGAAUUAGCUUGCUAAUUUGAGACCGGCGCACGGGUGCGUAACGCGUAUGCAAUCUACCUUGUACAGGGGGAUAGCCCAGAGAAAUUUGGAUUAAUACCCCAUGGUAUAAUUAAUUUGCAUGAAUUGAUUAUUAAAGUUCCAACGGUACAAGAUGAGCAUGCGUCCCAUUAGCUAGUUGGUGUGGUAACGGCAUACCAAGGCGACGAUGGGUAGGGGUCCUGAGAGGGAGAUCCCCCACACUGGUACUGAGACACGGACCAGACUCCUACGGGAGGCAGCAGUGAGGAAUAUUGGUCAAUGGUCGGAAGACUGAACCAGCCAUGCCGCGUGCAGGAAGAAGCAUCUAUGGUGUGUAAACUGCUUUUGUACGGGAAGAAACACUCCCUCGUGAAGGAGCUUGACGGUACCGUAAGAAUAAGGAUCGGCUAACUCCGUGCCAGCAGCCGCGGUAAA